CCUGCAUUGUACACACUGUGCGUAACUUAUGUAAGCACAGCGCAUACAAUGUGGAUG
rnacentral:pre_miRNA from 2 species